UACGUAGGGCGCAAGCGUUGUCCGGAAUUAUUGGGCGUAAAGAGCUCGUAGGCGGCUUGUCACGUCGGAUGUGAAAGCCCGAGGCUUAACCUCGGGUCUGCAUUCGAUACGGGCUAGCUAGAGUGUGGUAGGGGAGAUCGGAAUUCCUGGUGUAGCGGUGAAAUGCGCAGAUAUCAGGAGGAACACCAAUGGCGAAGGCAGAUCUCUGGGCCGUAACUGACGCUGAGGAGCGAAAGCAUGGGGAGCGAACAGG
rnacentral:rRNA from 1 species